rnacentral:rRNA from 1 species
AUGGCAGCUGGUUUGGAGCCUCUGGUGGUCUUCUGGAGUGGACGGGGGAUCCAUAUCACGGUGGUGCUAAGCUUUGCGGUGCAGGUGACGCUUCUACUCUUGGCAGAUCUUCGUCGACGCGCGGACUGGCCUGUGCUGAAGGUCAGCAUUUGGUCAGCAUACAUGCUGGCCGACACGACGGCCAUAUAUGCCUUGGGCCACCUGUCCGUGGUCGUCAGGUCACCCGAGCACCACCUUAUGGCACUCUGGGCACCGUUGCUGCUGGUGCACCUUGGCGGCCAAGACAACAUCACCGCCUAUGCCAUUGAGGACAACCGGCUAUGGUUGCGUCACCUGCAGACCUUCGGAGUGCAGCUCCUAGCAGCUGGCUAUGUGCUAUAUACGUCUUCCAUUCUCUCUCGCCCGUCCUUGCUCCGUUCGGCCGCCAUCCUCAUGUCUGUGGUCGGGGUUCUCAAGUACGGGGAGAGAGUAUGGGCGCUCAUUGGCGCCGACAGAUCUGCCAGUGGCAGCCUAUCUGCCACCAGCUACAAGGAUUUGAAUGCCGAGCAGACAAAUGAUGGUGAUACAAGCCAGAGAAAUGAAGUGAAACUGAACGGUUUGUCCUCAGGACCUGCAAGGCAGAGUAAUGAAGUGGAUCUGGAAGGUUGUCCGGCAGGGUCUACAAGUCACGGUCAUGGAGUUGAUCCAGAAGAUUUGUCCGAAAUUCUUGCAAGCGAGAGUCAUGAAGUGGAAGAGGGAGUCGAGAUGGGCCAGGGAGUUAUGUCUACAGGACCUCCACGCCAGGGGGAUAAAUUUGAGGGGCUAGUCACAGCUUACUCACUGUUGGACGUUGCCAAGCAAAUGUUCGAGGGUCCAACACGUUUUGUGAAAAUUAGGAAAGCAAGGCGUUACGAAGGAGAAUUUAUGUUGGAGGUGGUGGAGAUGCAGCUCACGAUGAUGUACGAUCUCUUGUACACCAAGGCUGUAGUGGUGCACACCUGGUUUGGUUUCUUGGUACGUGUCUUGUCGCUGCCAUUCACUGUGGCCGCACUCCUGCUGUUCCAUGGUGCAUGCAUUGGGUGA